AUGACCUCAAAUCAGAUGAGACUACCCGCUGAACUUAAGCAUAUCUAAUGAUCCACAGUCCUUUGAUGGAGUAUCA
rnacentral:rRNA from 1 species